rnacentral:snRNA from 1 species
AAGCAGACAACAUAAAUAUACAA